UACGAAGGGGGCUAGCGUUGCUCGGAAUCACUGGCGUAAAGCGCACGUAGGCGGAUCGCUAAGUCAGGGGUGAAAUCCUGGAGCUCAACUCCAGAACUGCCCUUGAUACUGGCGAUCUCGAGUCCGGGAGAGGUGAGUGGAACUGCGAGUGUAGAGGUGAAAUUCGUAGAUAUUCGCAAGAACACCAGUGGCGAAGGCGGCUCACUGGCCCGGUACUGACGCUGAGGUGCGAAAGCGUGGGGAGCAAACAGG
rnacentral:rRNA from 1 species